UUUGAAAUCUGGCCCUUGGGUCCGAAUUGUAAUUUGUAGAGGAUGAUUUUGGUGCGGUAUCUUCCGAGUUCCUUGGAACAGGACGCCUUAGAGGGUGAGAGCCCCGUACGGUUGAAUGCCUAGCCUCUGUAAAUCUCCUUCGACGAGUCGAGUAGUUUGGGAAUGCUGCUCUAAAUGGGAGGUAAAUUUCUUCUAAAGCUAAAUACUGGCCAGAGACCGAUAGCGCACAAGUAGAGUGAUCGAAAGAUGAAAAGCACUUUGAAAAGAGGGUUAAAUAGCACGUGAAAUUGUUGAAAGGGAAGGAUUUAUGACCAGACUUUUUCUGGGCGGAUCAUCCGGUGUUCUCACCGGUGCACUUUGCCCAGUUUAGGCCAGCAUCGAUUUUCGGAGAGGGAUAAAAGCUUUAGGAAUGUGGCUCCUCCGGGAGUGUUAUAGCCUAUUGUAUAAUACCUUUCUGGGGAUCGAGGUACGCGCUUCUGCAAGGAUGCUGGCGUAAUGGUUAUCAAUCACCCGUCUUGAAACACGGACCAAGGAGUCGAACAUUUGUGCGAGUGUUUGGGUGUUAAACCCUCACGCGUAAUGAAAGUGAACGGAGGUGAGAGCCCUUACGGGUGCAUCAUCGACCGAUCCUGAAGUUUUCGGAUGGAUUUGAGUAAGAGCAUAACUGUUCGGACCCGAAAGAUGGUGAACUAUGCGUGGAUAGGGUGAAGCCAGAGGAAACUCUGGUGGAGGCUCGCAGCGGUUCUGACGUGCAAAUCGAUCGUCAAAUCUGCGCAUGGGGGCGAAAGACUAAUCGAACCAUCUAGUAGCUGGUUACCGCCGAAGUUUCCCUCAGGAUAGCAGUGUUGUCUUCAGUUUUAUGAGGUAAAGCGAAUGAUUAGGGACUCGGGGGCUAUUUUUUGCCUUCAUCCAUUCUCAAACUUUAAAUAUGUAAGAAGCCCUUGUUACUUAAUUGAACGUGGGCAUUCGAAUGUACCAACACUAGUGGGCCAUUUUUGGUAAGCAGAACUGGCGAUGCGGGAUGAACCGAACGCGGGGUUAAGGUGCCGGAGUGGACGCUCAUCAGACACCACAAAAGGUGUUAGUACAUCUUGACAGCAGGACGGUGGCCAUGGAAGUCGGAAUCCGCUAAGGACUGUGUAACAACUCACCUGCCGAAUGUACUAGCCCUGAAAAUGGAUGGCGCUCAAGCGUCCCACCCAUACCUCGCCCUUAGGGUAGAAA
rnacentral:rRNA from 1 species